GGCAGGCUGUAUUGUUGUCUACAGUUGGUCAUAGCACCUUUUCACAAUUGCUUAACUGCUUAGUACGUUCUUCAGCUGCAAACUCUAUUUGCUCAGUUCACAGUUCACUGAAAACAUUUGAAUGCAUUCAUGCACACAACACUGUCCAGUCAGUCAGCCAGCACAGAGCUUCCAAAAUGCCUCCAACCUGUAGCAUGCUUUAUUCUGUUAUGUGUGUCAUCACAUGUGACUAGUAGCACGUAUCUAUUAAGACAUUCAGUCAGAGUGCUUUAUGCACAUGGCAAACAGUGUGCAUGGACAGUGCAGAGAAAAUACACAAUCUUCGAUAUUCCAACAAAUUCAUUCAGGCUUUAAAGCCCUCAGCUAACAUGUUAAAUCUUAAAAUUCAUGACAAUACAAUUAGAAAAAGACUAAACAGGCCUUCCAAACAUCUUGGAAAGGUUGCCAGGAGAAAGCCACACUGUCAGGGCUCUGUGUGCGGGCAGUCGGAGAUGAGGAUCCAAACGCAGGACUCGGAGACUGAAUUGCAACAGAAAACCUCGGCUUUAUUGCUGGCGAUGAGCAACACAUGAACUGAACAAUGACACUGAGCACAGAAACACACAUACAAAAUCUGAGGGUACGACAUGACAGAGAGCAAAGGCAAACACAGGGCUUAUAUACACAGGGGAAUAAUCAGGGAAUGGAAAACAGGAGGGAGACACAACUGGGAGAGAUUAGGGCUAACGAGACAGGGGAGCGAAGCUAGACACGCUGACAUAAGACAAACCUUCACAAUAAAACAGGAAACAAGAAACAGACUUAAUACUGAACUAAACCUAUACUAAACAUGAGACGCAAACCUAAGAACUAAUCCCUCACCAAGAAUAACUGAAACAUACUAAAUCAUCAUCAUCAUCAUCAUCAUCAUCAUCAAAGCUUGACAAGAGAUCAAGAAAAAAAAAUACAAAAUCAAACCAAAAAAAAAGAGACUCAAAACACUGGGUCAAAAUAACCCAGAAGUGUGACACACACUGGCUUCAGGACCUGGACACAAUCACUGAGUCAGCCUUAAACAUGUACACCAAAUAUGAGGCCCUCUGUCUGACUGCCAAACUUUGACUGAAAUUAUGUCAGGAAACAGGACAAGGAUCCCAAGGUAACCAACAGAUCUACAAUAGAUUCGCUGAAAAAACAUCGAUAUGAAAAGCAAUCAUGGUCAGCAUCCAGAGCACAGGACAGCAGUGCACAAACAAAUGCCUACAAACGGCAAACGAAACGUAAAGAAAAGUUGGUCAGAUUUCAUCAAGGAUUACGUGUGAGACUGAUAAAGCAAUACAGAAAAUGAUCAUGAUCUGCUAGUAAAGGUUGUACUAGUUACAGUAUCAUGGGUGCAUUUUCUUUUUCUUUGAUUUACGUUCUGUACGCUGCUUUUCAGUCCAG
ensembl:lncRNA